rnacentral:lncRNA from 1 species
AUGGGGGGCUGUCCGUGGGUGUGUGUGUGUCCCACGGGUGUGUGUGUGUGUGUGUGUGUGUGUGUGUGUCCCACGGGUGUGUGUGUGUGUGUGUGUCCCACGGGUGUGUGUGUGUGUGCCCCCACGGGUGUGUGUGUGUGUGUGUGUGCCCCCACGGGUGUGUGUGUGUGUGUCCCACGGGUGUGUGUGUGUGUGUGUCCCACGGGUGUGUGUGUGUGUCCCACGGGUGUGUGUCUGUGUCCCCCUGUGUGUCCCACGGGUGUGUGUGUGUGUCCCACGGGUGUGUGUUUGUGUCCCCCUGUGUGUCCCACGGGUGUGUGUGUGUGUGUGUGUGUGUCCCACGGGUGUGUUUGUGUCCCCACGGGUGUGUGUGUGUGUCCCCACGGGUGUGUGUGUGCCCCACGGGUGUGUGUGUGUGUAUCCCCACGGGUGUGUUUUUGUCCCCCUGUGUGUCCCACGGGUGCGCGCUGCGUGUCCCGCUGCGGGCGGCAGGCGGCGGCAGCGGCCGGGAUUGUCGGGAUCCCCGGGAUUCACCGGGAUUGUCGGGAUCCCNNNNNNNNNNCCGGGAUUCACCGGGAUUGUCGGGAUCCCCGGGAUUCACCGGGAUUGCCAGGACCGGCCCCACUCCGAUCCUUCUCCUCCCCUCCAUCCCCGCAGCCGUGCCCAGCGCUGCCACCGAAAGCGCUGCCCCCAACCUCAGAGGGACCCGGAGCUGCUGGAGCAAAUCCAGAGGAGCCCCGGAGCUGCUCCAAGGGCUGGAGCCAGGCUGGGAGAGCUGGGGAUGCUCACAUGGAGAGGAGAAGCUCCAGGGAGAGCUCAGAGCCCCUGGCAGGGCCUGGAGGGGCUCCAGAAGAGCUGGAGAGGGGCUGGGGACAAGGAUGGAGGGACAGGAGCCAGGGAAUGGCUCCCACUGCCAGAGGGCAGGGGUGGGUGGCAGAUUGGGAAGGAAUUCCUGGCUGGGAGGGUGGAAAUGCCCUGGUACAGGAUGCCCCUGGAUGUGUCCAAGGCCAGACUGGACAGGGCUUGGAGCAACCUGGGAUAGUGAGAAUUGUCCCUACCCAUGGCAGGGGGUUGGAAUGGGAUGAUUCUUAA